GUCUAUGGCCACACCACACUGAACAUGCCCAAUCUCAUCUGAUCUCAGAAGCUAAGCAGGGUUGGGCCUGGUUAGUACUUGGAUGUGAGAAAUUAAAAAAAUAUAUCUU
rnacentral:rRNA from 1 species